rnacentral:lncRNA from 1 species
UAUGUCAGUGUUUUUUAAUCAUUUUGUUUCUCUGGUAUUACAGUUGUACUUUUAGGUUCUCCGUCUAAAAUAUCGUUCCUCCCUUGUCGUUCUCGUGACUCAGCUCUCUGUUCCUGUGACAAAGUGUUUGAGAGAAAGCAUUCAAGGGAGGCUUUAUAUGCCUCCCUUUCAGCCUGUAGUCUGCUGGCUCUGUUGUCCUGGGGAGGAGUGAGGCAGAGCAUUAUGGUGGGGAAAUGUGAAAGAGCCUCACUCCAUACAAGCUGGAAAGUAGGAAGAGAAGGAAGGGGAAGAGUGUGGAGACGAGAUGGUGGCUCCAGUGACUUCCCUACCCGAGCUGGGCCUCCAGAUCCACUCAGCUAUGAAUUCAUCCACAGUCAAAGUCAUUACAACCUCCAUGACCCAAGUGGCAGAUAAGCCUUCAAAACAGGAGCCCAUGGGAGGUCAUUGGACAGCCAGACCAUGGCAGCAUCUUCUCUUGAUUUAUCCAACAUUUUUCCAGAUAUCGUCUUUAUGUCUAUCCAAACCGAAUGAUCGUCCCUUCCACGAAUAAAUUGUUAUCCACUGUG